UUUCCUACGGGGGGCUGCAGUGAGGAAUAUUGGUCAAUGGGCGAGAGCCUGAACCAGCCAAGUCGCGUGAAGGAAGAAGGAUCUAUGGUUCGUAAACUUCUUUUGCAGGGGAAUAAAGUGCAGGACGUGUCCUGUUUUGUAUGUACCCUGAGAAUAAGGAUCGGCUAACUCCGUGCCAGCAGCCGCGGUAAUACGGAGGAUCCGAGCGUUAUCCGGAUUUAUUGGGUUUAAAGGGUGCGUAGGUGGUUUGAUAAGUCAGCGGUGAAAGUUUGCAGCUUAACUGUAAAAAUGCCGUUGAAACUGUCGGACUUGAGUGUAAAUGAGGUAGGCGGAAUGCGUGGUGUAGCGGUGAAAUGCAUAGAUAUCACGCAGAACUCCGAUUGCGAAGGCAGCUUACUAAGCUACAACUGACACUGAAGCACGAAAGCGUGGGGAUCAAACAGGAUUAGAUACCCCGGUAGUCCA
rnacentral:rRNA from 1 species